AGUCCUAAAAUGAACAAUAACAUAUACCAGAUACCCUAAAACAUAGUCUCUCACAAAAUACCAGCACAUGGAAGGGUAUUGAAGAUUCAAUACAAGGACGCUGAGGCCCCGAGAGAUUCAAGAAGGGAAGAAUCCCAUGUGAAGAUACGGCCACUCAGGGAGAAGACCGCACGACAUGAUAGAGGCAGAGAUGGGAGUGAUCGUUUGCAAACCAAGGAACGUCAAGGCAAGGGUUGGUGGCCACCACCAAAAGACACUAGGAAGAGACAAGGCAGGAUUCUACUCAGCGUCUCAGAGGGAGCAUGGCCCUGCUGAGACCUGACUUUAGACAUCUAGCCUCCGAAACUGUGAGAGAAUAAAUUUCUGUUGUUUCAACCCA